rnacentral:rRNA from 1 species
UCUCUCUGAAUCUGCGAACGGCUCCGCAAACCAGUUGUAAACUAUAGCAAGCAAGCUCAGGGCCGGCUCUCACGGGCUGGCCCUGGGCGAUAUGGAUAACCCUGGUAAUUCUGAGGCUAAUACAUGACCGUAGAACCUGGAGGACUGGCCUCGGCUGGGAAUCUGGGGGAUGUGCGACGUAUGCUUGGUGUUUCCGGGAAGGGGCGCAUGUUCAGACCACGCUAAAAAGGUCGGGUCCCUUCGGGGGCCUGUCCCAGUGGCUCUUGCUGUGUGCUUCUGACCUAUCAACUAGACGGCAGCCUAAUGGACAUGCUUUGGUGACAACGGGUACAGAGGAUUAGGGUUCGAUCCUGGAGAGUGGGCCUGAGAGAUU